rnacentral:tRNA from 1 species
GGAAGUUAUGAAACUGUCGCUGCUAACGAUGGUUGGAAUAUUAGUUGUAUUCAGCUUCCU